AGGUAAAUGCAAUUGGAGCUUUGUUCUCUCACGCUGUUCUGCCCUGGGUUUCUGCCUUAUCACAUCCCAGAAGUAAGGGAAUCAGCGGCCAUGGACCCAAAACUCAAACUAUGAGUCCAGAUAAACCUUUGUUUCCUGAGGCUGUUAUUCUCGGGGUAUAUCUAAUUGCUCCAUACAAUUGACGAACACAAUUAUCUUAACCCCAGCUCGCUAUCUGCUGGUCCACUACCAUAUCCUAUUCAUGCCUAAAUAGCCACUGGCCACCAUCUGCGAGGGACAAGGUUCCCUUUGACCCACGGCUUGCUUUUCCUUUCUUCCUGCCUCCCCCUCAGAAGGAGAGACUGCGUAAACGAACCCUCAUUUCAACACUUCUUCUGGUGAAAUGACUCAUCAAAGAAUAACUGCAUGCUUGUGUUUGUGUCUUCAACCUGAUUUUGCAACAUCCAGGAAGUUGAUCAGCACUGACAUUUUGUAACACGCUGGCAUUGCCUCGCUGAGCUGCAAAGCAAUUCCAAAACAGCCCGGCCCUCAUUUGCUUCCACAGACUACGUCUGGAGAGGACAGGUUUCAGGUCAGAACGGAUUUUGGAAACUCUCUUUGUAGCCACUGAGCUGCCCGUCAUUCCUGGCUGUCCAUUCUGGUGCAAGAUCUAGUCCCAGCAGGCAAAGGAACUUUCUCUCAUAGACCUAAUCCCAACUCCUGCACCCCCUGAAUGGCUCGCCUUGAGAAGUGUUCUAAUGCCACGGUGUUUUCAGCAAACGCAUCACUUUCCUUUGGUUGCCAAUGGAGAUGAAGCUGGGGAUCCCAAGCGGGGGCUAAUGGACUAUGAGCCUGCAUAGGUACCAGGCUUAUUUGUGUCUCAGUACCAGCUUUGCUUGUAAUCAGCCAUAUGUUGCCGGGUUGCUUUGACGACCUGUCUGUAUCUAUUUUCUCAUUUUGAGAAUAGAGAUAGAACAUCAUCUACGUAGGGCCAUGGGAGGGUUAAAAGUACAGCAGGUCCACUGUCUAGCCAUGGACAUAGGGAGAUCACACUGUGUAGGUAUCUGCUGUUAUUGCCCUUCCCCUCUGGGGAUUAAACCCAAGUAGAGCACUAGUCAGGUGCUCUCCCAUUGAACUACAGCCCCAACUCAUGAGUUUGUUUGUUUAUGGGGCCAAAGCGGGCUAGAGAGAUAAUUCAGUGAUUAAGACCACUGGCUGCUCUUCCAGAAGAUCUGGGUUCAAUUCCUAGCACCCGUACGGCAGCUUAGGACCACCUGCAACUCUAGUUUUAAGGGAUCUGAUGCCCUCUUCUGGCCUCCACAGGUACCAGGGACACACACACGGUGCAAAGACAUACAGGCAGGCAAAACACCCAUACACAUAAAAUUUCAAAAAUGGGGCCUCAGUAUGGAGUUCAGCCUGGCCGUGAGUUUGAGAUCCUCCUGCCUCCGGUUCUCAAGAGCUGGGAUUACAGGGACAGCUGAUCACCUCUCUCGCAUGGGGCAAAAAGCUGGAUUCAUCUGGGUCCUUUACUGUAACUGACACCCGUGAUGGCCUGUUCCUCUCCAGGGUCACAGGAUGUCUCCCCAUUCAGUAGUCUAACAGAAGUUCCCCAAUCAGAACUUCUAUCAUGGUGGCCGGAUCCCAAAGAAGGUAAUGGAGGGAGCUGGUUCCUGUCAGGUCUGACAGCAUCAGAACUGCGUUGGUUCUGUCGAAAUCUUCUGAUGAAGGCAGGCCAAAAUGCCAGACCAGCUGGCAGAGGAGAAGGCGAAGCUCCUUACGAUGGGAUGAGCAGCAUGAAUCUUCAAAAGGAACCAGACAGAUUGGCUGUGACAUCGGAAGCUGAGCAGGUCAUUUAGAAGUGUGCUGUAUUGCUGGGUGUAGCUCGGUUGUUGAAUGCUUCUCUAGCCCAUGUGAGGCCUUGGGUGUAUACAACAAGUGCUUACAGUGAAUAAAUGACCGCUUUCAACAGAAA